rnacentral:rRNA from 1 species
AAGACACCGUGGAGGGCCGCACCCACGUCUGUUGAAAAAGCCGGGGAUGACUUGUGGAUAGCGGAGAAAUUCCAAUCGAACUCGGAGAUAGCUGGUUCUCCCCGAAAUAGCUUUAGGGCUAGCGUUAUUUUAGAUUACCGGAGGUAAAGCACUGAAUGGUCUAGGGGCCGCGAGGUUACCAAAGCCUAUCAAACUCUGAAUGCCGGAUAAUUGAUGAAUAGCAGUCAGACUGUGUGAGAUAAGUCUCAUAGUCAAAAGGGAAACAGCCCAGAUCUACAGCUAAGGUCCCAAAUGAACACUAAGUGGAAAAUGAUGUGAAACUGCGAAGACAACCAGGAUGUUGGCUUAGAAGCAGCCACUCAUUCAAAGAGUGCGUAAUAGCUCACUGGUCGAGUGGUUUUGCGCAGAAAAUGUAACGGGGCUAAGUGUUCAACCGAAGCUUAGGCAUUGCAGCAAUGCAUUGGGUAGGGGAGCGUCGUAUGCGGGGCGAAGUCAGAGCGGAAGCACUGGUGGACUGCAUACGAGUGAGAAUGCCGGAAUAAGUAGCGAGAAUUAUGUGAGAAUCAUAAUGGCCGAAAAUCUAAGGUUUCUUGGGGAAGGUUCGUCCGCCCAAGGUUAGUCGGGAGCUAAGCUCAGGCCGAAAGGCGUAGGCGAUGCACAUACGGUAGAAAUUCCGUAACCACCGAACAUUUAAGCUAGAGGGACGCUUUCAUUAAGUCUAUCCCGGGCGAUGGUUGCCCCGGGCGUAAGGGACCGAAAUUUAGUAGGGAAGUAACUGGCGAGAGAGACGAGAAAAGCUCUGGUGUAUACUAAGGUGCCCGUACCGCAAACCGACACAGGUAG